rnacentral:rRNA from 1 species
GACUUGGUGCUCGGGAUUAUUGGGCGUAAGGGUGCGUAGGUGGCGCCAUAAGUCAGGUGUGAAAUCUCGGAGCCCAACUCCGAAACUGCACUUGAUACUGUGGUGCUUGAGUACUGGAGAGGAGAUUGGAAUUUACGGUGUAGCAGUGAAAUGCGUAGAUAUCGUAAGGAAGACCAGUGGCGAAGGCGAAUCUCUGGACAGUUACUGACACUGAGGCACGAAGGCCAGGGGAGCAAACGGGAUUAGAUACCCCGGUAGUCCUGGCAGUAAACGGUGCGCGUUUGGUGUGGGAGGAUUCGACCCCUUCUGUGCCGGAGCUAACGCGUUAAACGCGCCGCCUGGGGAGUACGGUCGCAAGAUUAAAACUCAAAGAAAUUGACGGGGGCCCGCACAAGCGGUGGAGUAUGUGGCUUAAUUCGACGCAACGCGAAGAACCUUACCUGGGCUUGACAUCUGCGGAACCCGGUGGAAACAUCGGGGUGCCUUCGGGAGCCGCAAGACAGGUGCUGCAUGGCUGUCGUCAGCUCGUGUCGUGAGAUGUUGGGUUAAGUCCCGCAACGAGCGCAACCCUUGUCCUUAGUUGCCAUCAUUCAGUUGGGCACUCUAAGGAGACUGCUGGUGUCAAACCGGAGGAAGGUGGGGAUGACGUCAAGUCCUCAUGGCCCUUAUGUCCAGGGCUACACACGUGCUACAAUGGCCGGUACAAAGGGCAGCGAUACCGUAAGGUGGAGCCAAUCCCAUAAAGCCGGUCUCAGUUCGGAUUGGAGUCUGCAACUCGACUUCAUGAAGUUGGAAUCGCUAGUAAUGGCAGAUCAGCACGCUGCCGUGAAUACGUUCCCGGGCCUUGUACACACCGCCCGUCACAUCACGAAAGUGGAUUGUACUAGAAGUCUGCGCGCUGACCCGCAAGGGAGGCAGCGGCCCAAGGUAUGAUUCAUGAUUGGGGUGAAGUCGUAACAAGGUAAC